UACGUAGGGUGCAAGCGUUUGUCCGGAAUUAUUGGGCGUAAAGAGCUCGUAGGCGGUCUGUCGCGUCGGCUGUGAAAACCCGGAGCUCAACUCCGGGCCUGCAGUCGAUACGGGCAAACUGGAGUACUGCAGGGGAGACUGGAAUUCCUGGUGUAGCGGUGAAAUGCGCAGAUAUCAGGAGGAACACCGGUGGCGAAGGCGGGUCUCUGGGCAGUAACUGACGUGGAGGAGCG
rnacentral:rRNA from 1 species